CUACGGGUGGCUCCAGUGGGGAAUAUUGCACAAUGGAGGAAACUCUGAUGCAGCAACGCCGCGUGGAGGAUGACACUUUUCGGAGCGUAAACUCCUUUUAUAUAGGAAGAAGAUGACGGUACUAUAUGAAUAAGCGCCGGCUAACUCCGUGCCAGCAGCCGCGGUAAUACGGAGGGCGCAAGCGUUACUCGGAAUCACUGGGCGUAAAGAGCGUGUAGGCGGAUUAAAAAGUCAGAAGUGAAAUCCUAUAGCUUAACUAUAGAACUGCUUCUGAAACUCUUAAUCUAGAAUAUGGGAGAGGUAGAUGGAAUUUCUGGUGUAGGGGUAGAAUCCGUAGAGAUCAGAAGGAAUACCGAUUGCGAAGGCGAUCUACUAGAGCAUUAUUGACGCUGAGACGCGAAAGCGUGGGGAGCAAACAGGAUUAGAUACCCUAGUAGUC
rnacentral:rRNA from 1 species